ensembl:snRNA U6 U6 spliceosomal RNA
GUGCUUACUUCAGCAGCACAUCUAUUAAAAUUGGAGUGAUACAGAGAUUAGCAUGUGCAAAAAUGACACAUAAAUUCCUGAAGUGUUCCGUAUUUUU